GCUUUGGUGGUGCAACGGUUAGCAUGUGCUCUCGGAAAGAGUGAAAUCUGAGUUCAAAUCCCGGCUGACGCA